CGACGAUUGUUAUUGAUCUAGUUUUUUUAGUUCCUUUUGUAAAAUCUCUACAUAUUUUUCCUAUCCAAUGAACUUUAGUUUGCAUGGAACUUGGCAUGCCUUGUCCAUCACCCAAGUUAACAGCUUUGCCUUUGAUGAUAAUUACUGUGCAUGAACUGUAAGUAUACGCUCGCAGAAAGUAGAAGACUGUUUUAGCAAAGCGCCCACUUUUCCCUCGUUUUAAAUGUCCCACAACUCUAUCGUGAAGAAGAAC